rnacentral:rRNA from 1 species
AGAAUCAACGCUGGCGGCGUGCCUAACACAUGCAAGUCGAACGAGAAAGUGGAGCAAUCCAUGAGUAAAGUGGCGCACGGGUGAGUAACACGUGACUAACCUACCCUUGAGUGGGGGAUAACCUAGAGAAAUCUGGGCGUAAUACCGUCAUAAUACCUUCGGGGUCAAAGGAGCAAUUCGCUUAAGGAGGGGGUCGCGGCCGAUUAGUUAGUUGGCGGGGUAAUGGCCCACCAAGACUGUGAUCGGUA